GACGAACGCUGGCGGCGUGCUUAACACAUGCAAGUCGAACGGAAAGGCCCUGCUUUUGUGGGGUGCUCGAGUGGCGAACGGGUGGGUAACACGUGGGUAACCUGCCCUUGACUUUGGGAUAACUUCAGGAAACUGGGGCUAAUACCGGAUAGGAGCUCCUGCUGCAUGGUGGGGGUUGGAAAGUUUCGGCGGUUGGGGAUGGACUCGCGGCUUAUCAGCUUGUUGGUGGGGUAGUGGCUUACCAAGGCUUUGACGGGUAGCCGGCCUGAGAGGGUGACCGGCCACAUUGGGACUGAGAUACGGCCCAGACUCCUACGGGAGGCAGCAGUGGGGAAUAUUGCACAAUGGGCGGAAGCCUGAUGCAGCAACGCCGCGUGCGGGAUGACGGCCUUCGGGUUGUAAACCGCUUUCGCCUGUGACGAAGCGUGAGUGACGGUAAUGGGUAAAGAAGCACCGGCUAACUACAUG
rnacentral:rRNA from 1 species